rnacentral:rRNA from 1 species
GACGAACGCUGGCGGCGUGCCUAAUACAUGCAAGUAGAACGCUGAAGAGAGGAGCUUGCUCUUCUUGGAUGAGUUGCGAACGGGUGAGUAACGCGUAGGUAACCUGCCUGGUAGCGGGGGAUAACUAUUGGAAACGAUAGCUAAUACCGCAUAAUAGUAGAUGUUGCAUGACAUUUGCUUAAAAGGUGCAAUUGCAUCACUACCAGAUGGACCUGCGUUGUAUUAGCUAGUUGGUGAGGUAACGGCUCACCAAGGCAACGAUACAUAGCCGACCUGAGAGGGUGAUCGGCCACACUGGGACUGAGACACGGCCCAGACUCCUACGGGAGGCAGCAGUAGGGAAUCUUCGGCAAUGGACGGAAGUCUGACCGAGCAACGCCGCGUGAGUGAAGAAGGUUUUCGGAUCGUAAAGCUCUGUUGUAAGAGAAGAACGAGUGUGAGAGUGGAAAGUUCACACUGUGACGGUAUCUUACCAGAAAGGACGGC